rnacentral:rRNA from 1 species
CCUUCCUACGGGGCGCAGCAGUGGGGGAUAUUGCACAAUGGGGGGAACCCUGAUGCAGCGACGCCGCGUGAACGAAGAAAUAUGUCGGUAUGUAAAGUUCUAUCAGCAGGGAAGAAAAUGACAGUACCUGACCAAGAAGCCCCGGCUAACUGCGUGCCAGCAGCCGCGGUAAUACGUAGGGGGCGAGCGUUAUCCGGAUUCACUGGGCGUAAAGGGAGCGCAGGCGGCACGGCAAGUCCGGUGUGAACGCCCGGGGCCCAACCCCGGGACUGCACUGGAACCGGCCGGGCUGGAGGGU